rnacentral:rRNA from 1 species
GGACUACAGGGGUAUCUAAUCCUGUUUGCUCCCCACGCUUUCGUGCAUGAGCGUCAGUAUUGGCCCAGGAGGCUGCCUUCGCCAUCGGUGUUCCUCCACAUCUCUACGCAUUUCACCGCUACACGUGGAAUUCCACCUCCCUCUGCCAUACUCGAGUCCCGUAGUUUCAAGCGCCAUUCCCAGGUUAAGCCCGGGGAUUUCACGCCUGACUUGCGGAACCGCCUGCGCACCCUUUACGCCCAGUAAUUCCGAUUAACGCUCGCACCCUACGUAUUACCGCGGCUGCUGGCAC